rnacentral:lncRNA from 1 species
UUAACAUGAGAAUGCAUCGAUUUAUCUGAAAAAUACUAAUGAAUUUAGUACAAUUGCAAGAUUUUAUUAUCGACCAACAACCUAUAGUAUAACAAAAACAAUGAAAAGCCCACUAAAAAAAUUGAAUCUUUUAAAGAAAUAUAUCAUUUUUUUAAUUUAUGAAUCACGCGUCUACUUAUUUUGCCAAGAAUUCAGGAAAAUUUAAACAUACUUCAAUCCUUUGAGUUUUUCGAUUCGAGGAAGAAAAAAUGAAUUACCUUGACUAAAGCGUGAAACUCUUGUGGAAGACGAGCGAGGCGGCGUCAAGCUGUGGCAGACGUGCUUAGGGCUUCUGGCGACGGCGUGAAACCCCGAUGGCAGACGAGCGAGGCGACGGCGACGUGCUUAGGGUUUCAGGCGGUGGAAUAAGGCUGCACGCUCAACCUCUAUCUCAGGCGACGUCGGCGGUGGAACCAGGCUGGGCGCGGCGACUCUCGCUCUCUCUCAGUAGGGAAGACGCCGGUGGAUGGGCGAAUCCAUCAUAGUGCAGCGGCAGGUGUUUGGUGAGAAGUAAUGAAUGAGGGAGGGGCAUGUGCUUGGUGGAGGAGAAAACCUUAAGUUUGGUGAUAUGUAUUGAAUGCAUACGUGAGAAUAU